AACGUAGGGGCCAAGCGUUAUCCGGAAUUACUGGGCGUAAAGAGCGUGUAGGCGGCGGACUAAGUUGGAUGUGAAAGCUCCCGGCUCAACUGGGAGAGGCCAUUCAAAACUGGUCAGCUAGAGAUAGAUAGAGGCAAGUGGAAUUUCCGGUGUAGCGGUGAAAUGCGUAGAUAUCGGAAGGAACACCAGAGGCGAAGGCGGCUUGCUGGGUCUGAUCUGACGCUGAGACGCGAAAGCUAGGGGAGAGAACGGG
rnacentral:rRNA from 1 species